CCUCUCUCUCUCGCUCAGCUUCCCCAGUCCUCACCUUCUUCCAGUCCGCCGCGCCCCCCCGGUCUGCCGCGUCUCCGUCCAGCCCCCUCAGUUCGCCGCGCCCAUGGUCUGCUUCCGUCUGCCCGGAUCGGUGUCUAAUUACUCACCCAACCAAACCCCCUCUUAUUUGUACGCAAACUCUCUCUCUCUCUGCGUUAUUGCUUUCUGUCGCUCCAUGUCGUCUCUCUCCCUCUUUCGUCCGGCGACGUCAUCGGUUCUCGCCGCCUCUGGCGUGACGAGGCCGGCGCCUCUUCUUAUUCCUUCUCCUCUCCUUUCAUUUUCUUCCUUAUUUCUUCCCCAAAAUAAAAUCCCCAAUUUCUAGGGUUUUCAGCCUCCCUCUCCUCUCUGAAUUUCGCCCCUCCGGCGAGUCCCGCCACUUUCGCCGCCGUCGCACCGCCGCCCCCUGCCUCAGGUCUGCCGAAAAACUGGUGAUCCAAAUAAGUUUAUGUUCUGUAAGAGGUGUGAUGGUCCACAUCACUGUUACUGUCAGCAACUUCCACAUAAGGUGCACUGAAUUUCUUAUUUUGGCAAUUUUUCUCAACAACCUAUGAGCUUAUAUAUAUCACUCGCAAUUUUCAUGCGGUUCUUCUGUCCCUGGAAAUGGCCUAAGCGUGCGGUAUGUAUUUUCAUGCACCAAUUUGUACCUCUCUGUUCUCUGUGUGUUCUUAGCUGUUUUUUCUUUCUCUUUUUGGGGUCUCUGGGAUUCUCUAUAUUACAUGAUAUUGGACUAUGGAAUGGUACCUUGAUAUGAAUCUGAAUCUGAACUCCCUUCUUAUGUUUGGAACUGCAUCUAUUAGGUAAGACUAUUAGGUAAGUCAGUUUACGUUAUAUGGGGUAUUAAAAGGAAAGAAACCCGAUUUUCAUGUAGCAAUUCCCCCACUGCAGCUAAAUCAUUCUAUGCAUCUGUUGUUGAAAGAUUUUAGAAAGUUUAUAGUGAUGAUGCAGUUAAAGAUGAUAUGCAUUUUCAUUACUCUUUAUCAACAUUGUCAGUAGUUAUCAACUUGGUGUGCUUAUAUUCUUGUUUUUGAUGUGAAGGUUAACUUGGUGAAUGAUGGUCUAGUGACAAUGCAGCUCGAAUCAAGGGAAUCAUCUUAAUGACCAUAAUAGGGAGAGGUGGUAGCGAUUUAACUGCCACAACAAUCGGGAAAGCAUUGGGUUUGAGAGAAAUCCAGCAGAGGAGCAGCCAUGAUGAUGAUGAAUCCAGGAAUGUGCAGUACAGGCAGAAAUGCAAGACGUGGCUUGAGCUGCUGUUUGCAAUAUGGUUCGUGAUGGGCAAUGUGUGGGUGUUCGACACGAGGUUCGUGAUGGAGUUCAAAAUCUUGUGUGAUUGAUGGUGUUCAUGGCUAGCUUGAGCCUUAUAUAGUUAAUUGCUUAGUGCCUGCUUUUGUUUCAAUUACCAGGUUUGUGGUGGAUUAAAUGAGUCGUACGUUGAGCUGAAGAGGCUUGUGAAUUCACAAGAAAAGUUGUACCAUAUGGCUAGCUAGUUGCAUAUUUAAUAUGUUUAGUAUUUUUGUAAGGCAUAAUAGUAUAGAUAGAGCAGUUGUUGAAUUUUGACUAUAUUCAAAUCUUGUAUGAAUUCUUUUUUAUGAUAAUAAUAUAAAAUUAAAUA